UGGCGCAAACAAUUCCAUUGCUGCAGAGAGACAUUCCACCAGAGCCAGAGACAGGGGUUAAAAGGCAGAAGCAACUUGAGGAUCGUGGGCUCUUUGCAUCACACCUUCGUGGUGUGUGCACUGAUCUCCCCAGCUGGUUUUGAAAUUGGCGUCUACGAACAGGAUCCGCUGCAGGUCGUCUGGACGGUGUGAUCAGGGACGAUAGUCCUGAAGACUAGGGUCGCUCAGCCUCCAAACCUCUACAGCUGUUCUGAGUGGGAGGACUGCUCACCCGUCUGGAUCGCCUCUGACGAGAUCCAACGAACACAAAAUCCAACUUCUACUCGGCCCGGUGAGAGAGAUUCCGUUUUGUUGCGACUUAUCGAAGAAAAAAAAAAAAAAAGAAAACGGGUUUGAAAUUGGUUUCAGGUAUUCCGGUUUACUUGGCUCUGAUCAUUUGGUUUAGGGAAAGUAAGGCAAAUAACAAUUAAUUCUAAAACAUCCCCUACUAGACUAAAACAUACAACGACAAAAGAAAACAUAAUUAGGACUAGAGACAAAAAUAUUUCUAACACGACUAGUUGGCUGAAAACGUACAAAAUAUAAUAUUAGGAAAAAAAAAUUUAAUUCUAAUUCUAAUUCUAAUAUUCGGGUAAAAAUUAAUCAGGUCAAAGUCUGCCCUGGUGGCCGAGACGGUGGUUGCUAAGGGUUGGCACGUGGGACCGAGCUUGUUUUGUCUGUACUGAGGAUACAGACCAGUGUGCAGAUCUGAGCGCAGUCCAAAGGGUGUGGACAGGAAAUAAAAGACGGCUUCUGUAAGACGGAGCGCGUUUGCAGGGGGAAGUGUUUUUGAGAUACGAGGGACCCGGGUCUUAGAGGGGCCUGACGGUGAGGGACCACUUCCGAGAACCCUGUCACUGAUCUGAGCGGUUCCCUUUCUACGGAGACGUCCGUGGAAGAGAAAUUUCGAAAAAAGGUUCCGGCCGGAACACAAAAAAGUAAAUAUGGUUAUUAGUGCGUUUCAUGUUUCCACGAGUGGGAAACUGGUUAUGGGUUCAAAAGGAGAAUCACUUAGUGUAAAAGACAUAUGCACCUUAAAAAGAAAAGUUAGAUACAAAAGAUGAGAUUUGAAAAAGCAAAACUAUCAAAACUAAAGCCCUAAAAGAAACAAAAGAGAGAUGAGAGUAACAGAAAAAAAAAAGGAGAUAACAACUCUGGGGAAGAAUUGUUUGCACUCUGCCACACACACACGUACACAUACACCACACACACACACAAGAGCAAAUGCUCCCAUUGUUUCUGCUCUCUAUUCUAAUGCAGAACCGAGCGCGAUGAGGGUAAAUCCGGAUCUGGACUCCUUUCCCACCAUCAGCAGAAGAACCGAAGGAGAAGAAGCGCCUGAUCAACAACCAGAACAGGGUGGAAGCUCUGACACCACAGCAGCUGGAGGACACAGACCACAGCAAGGACGCCUCACAGACUGCACAACGUCUGCAGCCAUCACGUUCUGGGCUCAUCAGAUGAACCAGCUACUACAAGCGUGUGUGUCUGACAGACACCUGCUUAUGACAAUCAGCAAAGGAAAACAAGGACAGAGCAACAGCAGAGGAGACGUGCUCUGACACAGACAUUGGUUGAAACAACAGGAGAGGCUUCAGACGUGAUCGGCCCAAUAGAGCUGCAUGUGAGGAUCCAGGAAAGGUCUGUCAUCGAGGAACAACUGUCCCAUCGAAAGGCUUCACCCGCUGGCGCUCACAUGAGACUGAUGGUUGGGGAAGGAGGAAGGUGACGGUUCCUUUUCACGUGACGUACAAGACGGUACCACAAACACACACACAUUCAUACACGCAACGAAGAAACACGCUUACAGCUGAUACACGCUCAAAUUCAUGUUCAUGCUUAUCUGCUCGCAAUGAAGAAUCGCUUUUUGCUUAAAAAAAUCCCACAGAGUGAUUUUCAAAUGAUGACAAACAGCUAAAUGACAACUGCUGCAUGACUUUACAGUCUGAUGGGUUCAAACUAUUUUAACUUGCAACAAAUUCAGUAAUAAAAUCCUUCAUGUUUCUAAAAAUAUUUGUGCACACUAUAGGUUUGUCUGGCCAGACUGUAGGAAAAACAAAACAGACUGUAGGAAAACAAAACAGACUAUAGGAAGACUGAGACUGACUGAAACAGACUAUUAAUGACUAUUAAAGGGAAGACGACUAUUAGAGAGAAGUAAUAAUAAUGACUGUACGUACCAGACUAUUAAAGAAAAACUUACUCUUUCACUGUCUUGUGCAACAUCUGACAGCAAGACACCUUAACAUUCAUUUUUGCUUUCAAACUUGUGCCCAGUUAAAUUUUUAGGAAGAGAUCGUGUGUAGUUUAGGUAUUUGAUUGAUUUCCACUCCAGACGGAGUGCAGGUCACGUCUACAGACAUUCUAAAUAAUCCCUCUUUUGUUGGUGUUAACUUCAGCUCAGCUGUGCUCUUAUCAUUGGCUGCUGAGGGGGGGCUGUAACUGAGGCCCUCACACAGGCUGCAUCACAGCUUGUUUAUGAUUUCACACACACACUGACAAACUGACCUCAACUUCCCUCUUUUGGGAUGAACACAGGUCUGCGCUUGCGAUUUCUCUUACUAACGAACAAAAAGAUUUUUGAUUUUUAUUCUACAGUUCCACACGUCCCUCUGUGAAAACAUGAUGGAGACAGACGCAGGACGUGGGUCCUUUCGUGAACAGAUGUCAACGGGGUGGAGACUGGUGAACGACUUCUGACCCCAUGUGACGUAUUCACCCACAUUACAUGCUUUUGUUUUUGCUUUUAUUUUUCAGAGGACGCUCUGACCCAACACUCAGCCUCACAGGAAGCACUGCUUCCCUGUGGCUCACACACAGACGUGAUGUAGGUUUGAUCAGAGGAUGUGAACCAGUGGUCAUCACACCUAGAUCUGACCACAGAUCAUGUAAACAACAACACCCUCUGUUAUGGGAAAAAUUGUCUCUUCCUUAUUUCUAUGUGUCUUCCUUACUUCUAUGCAGUUAUUAUAUGAUUUAUGACUUAUGUUCUGCAAUUAAUAUCUUAUGUUUUGUCUUACUGUAUGCAUUUGACAUUUCACCUAGAUUGUUCAAUGGUUGUCUCUGCCAGAAAGACUCUCAACUCUAGCUCCCAAACCCAAGGUCGGGGAGUUGUGUCUCUGUCUGUUGAGACUAGGUCCUCCUUUCUCACAGAUAGUUGGAUGUCAGCGAUGCAGGUGUGAGAAAGUGAAAAUCUUCACACACACUGCGACAGGGAGAAGAUGGUGCAUGUAAUUUGAUUGGGUUAGAAAGACAUUCCACCCUAGUCGGACAGAGAAGCUAAAAGGCAGAAGCAACUUGAGGAUCGUGGGCUCUUUGCAACACACCUUCGUGGUGUGUGCAAUGAUCUCCCCAGCUGGUUUUUGGUUUGUUGAUGUGCACGAUCAACAUCCAUGCUUUUUAUUUGCUUUCCCCAUUAUUUUUAUUUUCUUUAUUAUUUCAAUAAAUCGCACAAAAGGACAA